GGGAGCUGAAUGCAUCACUUCUCCUCUUUAACAAUCAUAGAGUGGUAUUUACCAGAAUGUUGUUUUAACUAGGGACAUAAGUAAGUGCCACCAUCCAGGCAUGAAUCAUCAUUUAACCUCAACAUCCACCACCCCAAAUGAGACCCAAAGCAAAAGGAAAAACGAAUCGCUCGCUACAUAGAAUAGAACGGGUGGCAUUAAAAGAAUGACUUAGUGGUCCUCAGAUAAGCAGAGAAGCGCAUAGCACUAGCACCGCCACAGUGAUCGGGAUCGAGACGGAGACAUCGACGGCGGCGUGGGAGGGCGCUGGAGCUGUGGUGUUGCUCACAGGAGGAAGGGGCGGCUCCGCCACGUCGGAGACAGUCAACACCGGCUCUGGGGCCAUUGCUGGUGGCAAUGCUGCUUUAUCCUGUAUGACCCCAAGGAGGCCGCCGCGCUGGGGAGGCAGCAUGUAGUAGGGCGUCUUGUCCCCCAUGUUCCUGCACGAGUUCACUGCGCAAACACAAGAAGAACUCACUCACAAGAUAACACUACAUGCAUGGUGAACUGGAUGAAAAAUGUUGGGCACGCACAUUUGUAUCUGUGAGCCGUCCCGGGGAAAUCGGUGAUGAGUCCAUCCACUCCGCCUCCCUCUCCCCCUUUGUGCACAAGGGCGUUGAUCUGUGACGUGGCGUCUGAGAAGAAGUCGUACGGUUGAGAAAAGAACUCGUUCCUCAGCAGAUACACAUAGACUGGAAGACCAGCAGACUGCAG
rnacentral:lncRNA from 1 species